CCUUUUCUUUGCCCCAAUUUCCUAGCCAAAAGCACCACAUUUUUUUACACCAACUCUCUCCUCUCCUCCAAUUUCUCCCUGCUUGAAGUUUGCUUACUGAAGAGACACCAAAAAUGGCUGAUUUUGGGAACAAUCUCAUCAAAAAUAUAAUACGAACUCUUAUUAUGGCUCCAGUCUAUACUACAGCAGGUUACAUUGCAUACAGAACUGGACGCUGGUUUUAUAAUCAUGAAAUGAGGAGGCUCGCUAUAGUGAGUGCUAACGAGACGGGAUGGCUGGGAAGAUCAAAGAACAACGAUCAACCAUCCAAACCACGCCCUUUCUGGAUGUGGUGAUUCCUUGUUUUUGACAAUAUAAUGCAAGUGUGAUAUUUUUCUUCAACAAUAAUUUGGAAUUACUACAUCCUUCAUCCAAGUUUUCGUUAUCCAAUUACAUCAAUGUGUCUAAUAUUUUCCUCGUA